rnacentral:rRNA from 1 species
GGUUAAGUGACUAAGCGUACACGGUGGAUGCCUUGGCAGUCAGAGGCGAUGAAAGACGUAGUAACUUGCGAUAAGCCCAGAUUAGGUAGUAACAACCAUUUGAGUCUGGGAUUUCUGAAUGGGGAAACCCACGUGCAUAAGCACGUAUCCUUACCUGAAUACAUAGGGUAAGGAGGCGAACCGGGGAACUGAAACAUCUAAGUACCCCGAGGAAAAGAAAUCAACCGAGAUUCCGAAAGUAGCGGCGAGCGAAAUUGGACUAGCCCUUAAGCUUUACACGCGUUAGACGAACGGUCUGGAAAGUCCGACGAUACAGGGUGAUAGUCCCGUAGUUGACGACGUGUGUUCAGUGAAAUCGAGUAGGGCGGGACACGUGAUAUCCUGUCUGAAUAUGGGGGACCAUCCUCCAAGGCUAAAUACUACUGACUGACCGAUAGUGAACCAGUACCGUGAGGGAAAGGCGAAAAGAACCCCUGUGAGGGGAGUGAAAUAGAACCUGAAACCGUGUACGUACAAGCAGUAGGAGCACCUUCGUGGUGUGACUGCGUACCUUUGUAUAAUGGGUCAGCGACUUAUAUUCAGUGGCAAGGUUAACCAUCUAGGGGAGCCGUAGGGAAACCGAGUCUUAACUGGGCGUUCAGUCUCUGGAUAUAGACCCGAAACCAGGUGAUCUAGCCAUGGGCAGGUUGAAGGUUGAGUAACAUCAACUGGAGGACCGAACCGACUAAUGUUGAAAAAUUAGCGGAUGACUUGUGGCUAGGGGUGAAAGGCCAAUCAAACCUGGAGAUAGCUGGUUCUCCCCGAAAGCUAUUUAGGUAGCGCCUCGGACGAAUACUACUGGGGGUAGAGCACUGUUAAGGCUAGGGGUCAUCCCGACUUACCAACCCUUUGCAAACUCCGAAUACCAGUAAGUACUAUCCGGGAGACACACGGCGGGUGCUAACGUCCGUCGUGGAGAGGAAACAACCCAGACCGCCAGCUAAGGUCCCAAAUUACUACUAAGUGGGAAACGAUGUGGGAAGGCUCAGACAGCCAGGAUGUUGGCUUAGAAGCAGCCAUCAUUUAAAGAAAGCGUAAUAGCUCACUGGUCGAGUCGGCCUGCGCGGAAGAUGUAACGGGGCUAAGUAGUAAACCGAAGCUGCGGCAAUGUGCUUUUGCACAUUGGGUAGGGGAGCGUUCUGUAAGCGGUUGAAGGUGUGUGGUAACGCAUGCUGGACGUAUCAGAAGUGCGAAUGCUGACAUGAGUAACGAUAAAGGGGGUGAAAAACCUCCUCGCCGGAAGACCAAGGGUUCCUGUCCAACGUUAAUCGGGGCAGGGUAAGUCGACCCCUAAGGCGAGGCCGAAAGGCGUAGUCGAUGGGAAACGGGUUAAUAUUCCCGUACUUCUUACAAUUGCGAUGGGGGGACGGAGAAGGCUAGGUGGGCCUGGCGACGGUUGUCCAGGUUCAAGUGCGUAGGCUUAAGAGUUAGGUAAAUCCGGCUCUUUUUAAGGCUGAGACACGACGUCGAGCACCUACGGGUGUGAAGUCAUUGAUGCCAUGCUUCCAGGAAAAGCCUCUAAGCUUCAGAUUGUAAGGAAUCGUACCCCAAACCGACACAGGUGGUCGGGUAGAGAAUACCAAGGCGCUUGAGAGAACUCGGGUGAAGGAACUAGGCAAAAUGGUACCGUAACUUCGGGAGAAGGUACGCUCUUGAUGGUGAAGUCCCUCGCGGAUGGAGCUGACGAGAGUCGCAGAUACCAGGUGGCUGCAACUGUUUAUUAAAAACACAGCACUGUGCAAAAUCGUAAGAUGACGUAUACGGUGUGACGCCUGCCCGGUGCCGGAAGGUUAAUUGAUGGGGUUAGACUUCGGUCGAAGCUCUUGAUCGAAGCCCCGGUAAACGGCGGCCGUAACUAUAACGGUCCUAAGGUAGCGAAAUUCCUUGUCGGGUAAGUUCCGACCUGCACGAAUGGCGUAAUGAUGGCCACGCUGUCUCCACCCGAGACUCAGUGAAAUUGAAAUCGCUGUGAAGAUGCAGUGUACCCGCGGCUAGACGGAAAGACCCCGUGAACCUUUACUACAGCUUGGCACUGAACAUUGACCCUACAUGUGUAGGAUAGGUGGGAGGCUUUGAAGCACGUACGCCAGUAUGUGUGGAGCCGUCCUUGAAAUACCACCCUUGUAGUGUUGAUGUUCUAACGUCGACCCCUAAUCGGGGUUGCGGACAGUGCCUGGUGGGUAGUUUGACUGGGGCGGUCUCCUCCCAAAGAGUAACGGAGGAGCACGAAGGUGGGCUAAUCACGGUUGGACAUCGUGAGGUUAGUGCAAUGGCAUAAGCCCGCUUGACUGCGAGAAUGACAAUUCGAGCAGGUGCGAAAGCAGGUCAUAGUGAUCCGGUGGUUCUGAAUGGAAGGGCCAUCGCUCAACGGAUAAAAGGUACUCCGGGGAUAACAGGCUGAUACCGCCCAAGAGUUCAUAUCGACGGCGGUGUUUGGCACCUCGAUGUCGGCUCAUCACAUCCUGGGGCUGAAGUCGGUCCCAAGGGUAUGGCUGUUCGCCAUUUAAAGUGGUACGCGAGCUGGGUUUAGAACGUCGUGAGACAGUUCGGUCCCUAUCUGCCGUGGGCGUUGGAAGAUUGAAGGGGCUGCUCCUAGUACGAGAGGACCGGAGUGGACGAACCUCUGGUGUUCGGGUUGUGUCGCCAGACGCAUUGCCCGGUAGCUAAGUUCGGAAUCGAUAACCGCUGAAAGCAUCUAAGCGGGAAGCGAGCCCUGAGAUGAGUCUUCCCUGAUACUUUAAGUAUCCUAAAGGGUUGUCGGAGACUACGACGUUGAUAGGUCAGGUGUGUAAGUGCUGUGAGGCAUUGAGCUAACUGAUACUAAUUGCCCGUGAGGCUUAACCAU